AAUCGAACCCGGAGAUAGCUGGUUCUCCUCGAAAUAGCUUUAGGGCUAGCCUCGAUACAGAUUUGCGGAGGUAGAGCACUGAAUUUCCUAGGGGGCGUCAAAGCCUACCGAAGAAUAUCAAACUCCGAAUGCCGCGUAAUCGAUUAUCGGGAGUCAGACUGCACGAGAUAAGUUGGGCGGUCAAAAGGGAAAGAGCCCAGACCUUCAGUUAAGGUCCCCAAGUGCGCGUUAAGUGGAAAAGGAUGUGGGAUUUCGAAGACAACCAGGAUGUUGGCUCAGAAGCAGCCAUCCAUUCAAAGAGUGCGUAAUAGCUCACUGGUCGAGAGGUCCUGCGCCGAAAAUGUCCGGGGCUGAAACGCGCCACCGAAACUAAGGAACCGAAAGGUUGGUAGAGGAGCAUUGCAUGCGGGAAGAAGCAGUACCGUAAGGAGCUGUGGACUGCAUGGAAGAGAGAAUGCCGGAAUGAGUAGCGAGAAUAAGGUGAGAAUCCUUAUGGCCGAAUAUCCAAGGUUUCCAGAGUAAAGCUGAUCUGCUCUGGGUAAGUCGGGGCCUAAGGCGAGGACGAGAGUCGUAGCCGAUGGACAACAGGUGGAGAUUCCUGUACUGCGGUAUGACAGAACUGUGGGGACACGUAAGGAAAGCGGAAGCCGGGAAUGGAAAGCCCGGUGCAAGCGGGGUACCAGUCACUUUGGCAAAUCCGGGUGGCAAUGGGAAGCCGUGAUGCGGAGCGAAAUAAAGUAGCGAAGUCCGUGAGCCAUGCGUCAAGAAAAGCCGCUAUCGUUUAUACCGUACCCGUACCGUAAACCGACACAGGUGGAUGAGGAGAGAAUCCUAAGGCCGGCGGAAGAAGCAUUGUCAAGGAACUCGGCAAAAUGGCCCCGUAACUUAGGGAUAAGGGGUGCCUGGGAAACCAGGCCGCAGAGAAUAGGCUCAAGCAACUGUUUAGCAAAAACACAGGUCUAUGCGAAACCGAAAGGUGAGGUAUAUGGGCUGACGCCUGCCCGGUGCUGGAAGGUUAAGAGGAGAGGUUAGCGGUAACGCGAAGCUUUGAAUUUAAGCCCCAGUAAACGGCGGCCGUAACUAUAACGGUCCUAAGGUAGCGAAAUUCCUUGUCGGGUAAGUUCCGACCCGCACGAAAGGCGUAAUGAUUUGGGCACUGUCUCAACAAUGCACCCGGUGAAAUUGAAAUACCAGUGAAGAUGCUGGUUACCUGCGCCAGGACGGAAAGACCCCAUGGAGCUUUACUCCAGCUUGAUACUGGGAUUCGGUAUUGCAUGUACAGGAUAGGUGGGAGGCUAGGAAGCAGUAACGCCAGUUGCUGCGGAGCCGCUGUUGGGAUACCACCCUUGCAGUAUUGGAUUUCUAACCAGCAGCCGUGACCCGGCUGGGGGACAAUGUCAGGUGGGGAGUUUGACUGGGGCGGUCGCCUCCGAAAGGGUAUCGGAGGCGCUCAAAGGUUCCCUCAGAAUGGUUGGAAACCAUUCGAAGAGUGCAAAGGCAGAAGGGAGCUUGACUGCGACACCGACGGGUGGAGCAGGUACGAAAGUAGGACUUAGUGAUCCGGUGGUAUAAAGUGGGAUUGCCAUCGCUCAACGGAUAAAAGCUACCCUGGGGAUAACAGGCUUAUCACUCCCAAGAGUUCACAUCGACGGAGUGGUUUGGCACCUCGAUGUCGGCUCAUCGCAUCCUGGGGCUGAAGUAGGUCCCAAGGGUUGGGCUGUUCGCCCAUUAAAGCGGUACGCGAGCUGGGUUCAGAACGUCGUGAGACAGUUCGGUCCCUAUCCGGCGUGGGCGUAGGAUAUUUGAGAGGAGCUGUCCUUAGUACGAGAGGACCGGGAUGGACUGGCCGCUGGUGUAUCUGUUGUAUUACCAAAGGCAUAGCAGAGUAGCCAAGCCGGGAAGGGAUAAACGCUGAAGGCAUCUAAGCGUGAAGCCCCCCUCAAGAUGAGAUAUCCCAUAACGUCAAGUUAGUAAGACCCCUUGAAGACGACGAGGUAGAUAGGGCAGAGGUGGAAGUGUGGUAACACAUGGAGCUGACUGUUACUAAUAGGUCGAGGGCAUAACCA
rnacentral:rRNA from 1 species